rnacentral:rRNA from 1 species
CCUACGGGUGGCAGCAGUCGAGAAUCAUUCACAAUGGGGGAAACCCUGAUGGUGCGACGCCGCGUGGGGGAAUGAAGGUCUUCGGAUUGUAAACCCCUGUCAUGUGGGAGCAAAUUAAAAAGAUAGUACCACAAGAGGAAGAGACGGCUAACUCUGUGCCAGCAGCCGCGGUAAUACAGAGGUCUCAAGCGUUGUUCGGAAUCACUGGGCGUAAAGCGUGCGUAGGCUGUUUCGUAAGUCGCGUGUGAAAGGCGCGGGCUCAACCCGCGGACGGCACAUGAUACUGCGAGACUAGAGUGAUGGAGGGGGAACCGGAAUUCUCGGUGUAGCAGUGAAAUGCGUAGAUAUCGAGAGGAACACUCGUGGCGAAGGCGGGUUCCUGGACAUUAACUGACGCUGAGGCACGAAGGCCAGGGGAGCGAAAGGGAUUAGAUACCCCUGUAGUC